rnacentral:lncRNA from 1 species
GCCGUGCCGUGCCGUGCCGUGCCGUGCCGUGCCGUGCCGUGCCGUGCCGUGCCGUGCCGUGCCGUGCCGUGCCGGACCAUGGCCACCAGGGCGGUGGCGGGCCGAGUGUAGCGCGGCGGUGGGGAUGGAGCAGGGGGGCCGCCGAGGCCGCGGGUGCGGAGCAGGGCCAGCUGUCUUCCUCUGAGGCCAUCUGAAGGGGACUGGUG